AUGGAGCAUGCGAUGGCAGGACGACGGCGUACGUGGAGCCGCUGGUACAACAUAAUAAUGGAGAAGCCAGUAGAUCAACUCGCGCACCAGCAUCAGCUCACACUACCAAGCUUUACUACUGAUGAUAGUGAGUACAUCCUGACGAUGAGAUGGGACUCGUACCUAGAAGGAGGACGUUCUCAUAAUUGUUAUGUCUUGUACAAGCACAAGCCAAGCAAUGAGGUAAAGAAGCAGGCACGGCAUGGCGUGGUAGAAAUCGGCGAGAGGGACCGCGGCGCUGAGGUUGCUGUUAUACCAACUCACCACAUCCGCCCCCGGACCUUCGCCUACGUCGAAACCACAGAACCUUUGAGUGUUUAUAGAUAA
rnacentral:rRNA from 1 species